AGCAGAGUGAGAAAUGAAGACCACUUCACCAUUCCUUAUUAUUACAGUGAAGACUUCAGAUCCAACUCUGAUCUCACUCUUGU
ensembl:snoRNA